UAGUAGAUUUUAGAGGCACAGAUUUUGAAUUGUUACCAUUUGGUGCUGGAAGGAGGGUGUGUCCAGGCAUUAUCUUUGCCAUACCUAACAUUGAGUUACCUCUUGCUCAGUUACUUUACCAUUUUGAUUGGAAGCUUCCCAAUGGAUUGAAGAAUGAAGAACUGAAUAUGACUGAGCAAUUUGGUAUUACUGUAGGAAGAAAACAUGACCUAUGUUUGAUUCCUAUUCCUCGACGUGCUUGAUAUGUAUUGCAUAAACAAACAAGUUCACAAAAUAAUUAAUAAUACUUCACCACUUAGCCAUUGAUGUUCCUAAUAGACAAGUGAGAAAGAUAGCAAAUAAUAUUCAUUUCUCCCAUCAAGGAGAACGUUGUACCUUAUAAAAUUUAUAUCGGCAAUCAUUUAAAAUCAUAAUUUUUAAAUGUUAUUUUUAAUUUGUGUGUAAUAUUUUAACCACAAGCAUUAAAUUAGUGUUAAAAUACAUCUCUAAUUUCUAUCUUCUUAAGUUUGAUAUAGUUGACGUUGAUUUUAUAGAUAGAGUUCUCUUAAUUAUAAUUUUCAUUCGUUUUCACUUACUAUUUGCAUGUUUAGGUGUAUUAAUUGAUUGUUUUUAUUUAGGACAUUUGAAAUUUAUGUCUAAUCUUUUUGGUUUUCUCAAAUUCCUAUAAGUAGCUAUAUUACACACUUCUUGAAUAUAUGGUUAUUCUAUAAACAUACUUCAAUAAAAACUUUUAUAUAGUAGAGGUGACCUUCAAGCAAUAGCCAUCAAGUAAACUUGUAUUUUUGGGAACUAGUUUAGUUGUGGUAACUUCCAUCCUUUUUGUUAGAGGAAAACAUGAAAAUACAAUUAAAUAUUUGGUUCUUAAUAGAUGGUUUCUUGAAGUGUUAAGAAGACUAGAAGGUCUCUAGAGAAACGCUUAGAAAAAUAGAGUAAAUAAUAUUUAAUAACUUGAAGACUUACGGUAUAAAGUCAACUCAAGAGGACAAUGAAGUUAAACGAACUUUUUGAUGAAUCCACAUAUUGUACAAAAAUUGUAGUUGAGAGGAUUUGAAACUUUUUCGUACAAAUAUUGUAUUUUGAGAGGGUUUAUUAUAUAAGUGGAUUUGCAAUUUUAUGCUUGUAAAGUUAUAAAAUACUUUAUUGUUAGAUUGUGGAUUAGAUAUGAGGUGUCAAUUUACAAUAAAUUCAUGAAAUGUCUUUUGAUACUUUUUAUUUAUUGUGUGAAAAUUUAUUUCAUGUUAAAUAAUUCUUGAACCACUUUAUUUUUAUUGUCGUCAUAUUUUAUACCUAUUUGACCCUCUACUAAAAAAAUAAAAUUAACAAGAGAAUUUAAAGAGGGAAAAUAUGAAAUCCCUCUCAAAAUCCCUCGCUAUAUUUUGUGACAAGGGAAUUUGAGUAGGAUUUUUUAUUUGCCAAUAAUUUAAUUAUUUCUAAAAGUAUAGAAGAUUUACAUGCAACUUAAAAGACUAAUUCCUAAAAUAAAAUCGGAUAUGACUACAAUUGAUAAAAAAAGUUAUACCUCAAACAUUUUAAUAUUUUAAAAAAUAUUUAAUUUUCAUAAAAGAGAGACUAAUUUUAUAUAACUAUUCAAGGUGAAUGAACCUAUACGGUAAAUCAACUUAGACCUAUAGCAUUUUGUAAUGUAAACUACAAAAUUAUUUCUAAAGUCAUUGUUUAGAGAGGUAAAAGUAUGAUGCUCCAUGUGGUAUCACAGAAUCAAAAUAGUUUUAUCCCAGGACGAUUUACUUCUGAUAACAUUUUAGUGCUCCAAGAAACUAUGGUACUAAAGGCUUUAUGAUUCUCAAGCUUAAUCUCGAAAAAUCAUAUGAUAAACUUGAAUGACAAUUUAUCAUAGAAUCUCGUGACAUGUUAAGAUUGUCUUUGAUACUUAAGAAUAUUAUACGACAUCUAUUGAUAUGAAUGGUUCUAUAACUAAUCCAUUUGGCACUUCUAGAGGGUUUAGAUAAGGGGAUUUUACCUCCCCUUAUCUUUUUAUGAUAUCUGUAAGACCCAUAAUUUUAAAGUACCAUUUAUGUAUUUUUGGUGUAUUUUGGAUUUUGGCUCGGAGGCUUUUAAGCCAAAGUUAAUAAUAUUUUGGAGUUUUAUAAUCAAAAAGAUAUUUUGAGAUAUUGGUUAAGUUAUAUUUAUUAUCUAUAUAUGUUUGGUUGGAGGGAAAAAGAAAGGACAACUAGAAGGAAGGAAAAUGAAAAGAAAAUAGUAUAAAAGGAAGGAAGGAAAAAGGAAGAAAGGAAAAACAAAGGAAAGAAAAAGAAAGGAAGGAAAAUUGAAAAUUCCAUCGUCUUCUUCCUCUCCCGCGGCCAAUUUCUCUCCUUUCUCCCAUUUUCAUUUUCGUCGCUUUCCUUUCUUCAAAACUAGUAACCCAAGGUUGGGUGAGAGUUAGAUCAAGGUUUUCGCGACUCCACUCUUCCUCUUUGAUUCGAAAACGAAGAAAAACGGUUUUUGAGAUCCAAACACAAACCCCUCCGUUUCUUCUAGAUCCAAACCUCAUUCCUCGAAGAGAUAGAAGGGAAAGUUGCUAACCACCACGCUACGAUGCUAGUGAACUAAUUUGGAAGCGGCGUUGCGAGCGGAGAUUUUACCGGAAUUACUCGCGGUACCAGAAACGCACGUUAAAGCUAACGUUGAGGUAAGGGCUCCUUCCAAACUUCUAGUCGCAUUAGGGACUUAUCUGUGGUUUUGUGGGAAGGAAUUUGUUAGGGUUAAAGAUAUCGAUUUGGGGAAAAACGAAACUAAUACGUUAUGGAUAAAACCUUAGAGUUAGGUUUUGUUUAUAUUGAUGAAUGUUUCGUGGUAAAUGAAUUUGAAGUCAUUGUGUAUGAUUACGAGUAAAUGAAAUUUGAUGUAUCCGGGUGUUAUGUUGCGUUGAUUUGUGUUCGUUGUAUUUGGCGUGUCCAUACUUGAUGUUUGUUAAUUGUUGUGGUUGCUGUGAAUUAUGGUUUGAAUGUGAAAGUAUGUUUGAAUUUAUCUGUGGUUUUGUGGGAAGGAAUUUGUUAGGGUUAAAGAUAUCGAUUUGGGGAAAAACGAAACUAAUACGUUAUGGAUAAAACCUUAGAGUUAGGUUUUGUUUAUAUUGAUGAAUGUUUCGUGGUAAAUGAAUUUGAAGUCUGAUGCAUUUGGGUGUCAUGUUGUGUUGAAUUGUGUUCAUUGUAUUUGGCGUGUUCAUACUUGAGGUUUGUUAAUUGGUGUGUUUGUUGUGAAUUAUGGUUUGGAUGUGAGAGUAUGUUUGAGUUUGUUUCUGUGGAAUUUGAAAACCAUUAGAGUUAAACGAGUAUUAAAAAUGGGGAAUCUUUUAAUACCUCGGUUUACUUAAUGUGCAUUUGAGGAAAAUGUUUAAGUUAACUGGGCGUUGAGAAUGGGGAAUCUCUUAAUGUCUCGGUUACUUAACUAUCGUUUUUGAAAAUCGUUUCGGUAAAUGAGUAUUAAGAAUGGGGAAUCUCUUAAUAUGACUGUUUGCUUAACGUUUUGUUUUGAAAAUCAUUAAGUUAAAUCGGUAUUAAGAACGGGGAAUCUCUUAAUGACUUAUUUAAUUAAUGUUGUUUGAAAGUCGUUUAAGUAAAUGGGUAUUAAAAAUGGGGAAUCUUUUAAUACCUCAGUUUACUUAAUGUGCGUUUGAACCUCGGUAAACGAUACGGGCCCGUGAUAGGCAGUACGUUUAUGGUUUACGCUUUUUAGUAAAUCGUGCAGACCCGUGAUAGGUGGCACCUUGGUAAUUGGUACUUUGGCCUGCGAUAGGCGGUACAAUUAUGAUUUACGGCCCUUCGAGGAGGGUUUUGGUUUGGAAUUCCGAGUCCAUGCAUUUUGGCAUAUACGCAUUGCAUUAGGGUGCUUGGCACGCGAGUCGUGGUUGAUUUGAGUUUUAUGAUUAAGUGAUUUGAAUUUGAGUCGUUGUGGUAAUUGCGUUGAAAAUGCUAAGUGUUAUGUGUUGAUUGUUGUGUGUAAGUAUGAUGGUUAUCGAGAUCUCAAUUGCCGUGGUAAUCGUGUAGGAAUUGCUAAGUGUUAGGUUGUGAACUUGAUUAGGAAUGACUUGAGUUAAUGCAUGAAUUUUUGGAAAAACGAUCAGGGAAAUCGAUUUCCCAAUCGAUUGGAUGGAAGUCAGGGACUUGGCCAAAUGGACAAAAUCGAUUAGCCAAUCGAUUUUGUAAUCAGUUUUCGAAAAUCAUUUACGAAAUCGAUUGCCCAAUCGAUUGGGCCUAAGUCAGGGACUCAUCCAUAUUCGACCAAAUCGAUUUGGAAAUCGAUUGGCUUAAAACCUGGGGGCUCAGUACUCACUCAAUCGAUUGCCAAAUCGAUUGAUUCAACCCAGGAUUCUAUUUUCAUUAAAAGCCUUCACCCCAAUCGAUUUCCCAAUCGAUUGGCUCAGUGAAAAUCCUCAGUAUUGAGUUAGAUGAUUGAUUGUUCAUUAACUUAUCCAUGUCCUGAUUGUUAUGUGUUAAUUAGGAGUUUGAGAACUUCAUUUUACUUUCAUUUUAAAUGGGCAAAGUAUUGUAUGAACUUUUCGCAUAUUGGAAAUCCUGGUAAGGUGCAUGCUUAGUUGAAAAGUUAUUUGAGCAUUUAAAAACUUAAUUGCUAUGUGUUAACUGUUAUUUUCUGGUUGGUGACCCUUUACACUUAUUGUGGAAAUCUGGGCUUUGCCCUCAGAUGAGAGUCAGGACGGUCCUACCGGUUCGUACCCUACGGACGGGAAUGGAGAUGGGAACGCUUGACUGCAGUUACGUUAGGAGGAUCUCACGGGGCGCGUGGAGAUACUCAGGGUGUAUAGCUUUUUGGUAGGAUGAUCAGAUUAGGAUGAUGUAUAGGGACUAGGUGUCCUUCUUUUUGGAUUGGAGUAUUUUUAGUUUGGAAAACUGUAUUUAUACUAAUAUUGUCAGUUCGACUUCUUAUGAGAAUGGGUCCCAUGUACCAUUUAUGGUUGUGUAAAUGUUUUGGAUUUAUAAUUGGAGAAACUUUUCCGCUGCUUGUAAAUUAUAAUGACUCAGUUAUUUAUCCAAAGGCAUUUAUUUAUCUAUUUCUCUGUUUUAAUUUAAUUACUUUUAAAAAAAAAAAAAUAUAUACCCUCGCUUUGAAAAACGGGGUGUUACAAUAUCUCUGGAGAGAUUGAGCCACAUGGAAAGCUCUUCAUUAUGGUAGAGGUGGGGGACCCUAUCUCUCACACAUAUUCAUUAUUAAUAAUAUUGUUUAGGUUGUUGAGGCUAGUAUAGAAUAAAUUUUCAGCUCAUUAAAUCCAUUUUGGCUUAUUUCUGCGUAAUUUUGGCCAAAAGAUAAACACACAUAAAUCCAAGGUCUUUUUCUCAAAAAAUAUGUCAACAACGAAAGUAACUUCUUUAAGUCAAAUUAUGGGGAUUGAUUUAACUACAAACCAUGGAGAAGUCCUUGGUGUUUCUCUGAUCCAUCAACGAGCCUCAAAAUAUUCAUUAUCCUUUAUCAUGGAUAGACUAAGAUCUAAACUCACAAAUUGGAAAUCUAACUUUCAUUCAUUUACAGGUAAAGUCAAUCUUGCUUAAUCAUCUCUAUCUUGCAUUCCUACAUAUGUGAUGUAAACCAUGUCAAUUACUAGUUCUAUUUGUGAUAAAGCUAAGAGACUAUGUUGCAACUUUAUCUAGGGUAGUACACAUGAACAAAGAGCAUACCAUUUGAUCUAUAGGGAAACAAUUUGCAAGCCAAAGCACGAAGGCAGGCUUGGUUUCAAGAAUCUCAAAGUCCUUAAUCAAGCAUAUAUGACCAAACUUGUUUGGCAACAGGUUACAAACAUAGACAUAUUUUAGGUUCCAUUGUCCUGAGGCAAGUAUAAUUUGGUAUUAUGAACAAGCUUCAUAUCCAACAACGCAAUAUUGCUUCAAAUACUUGGAUGAAUAUUUGCAAAGUGUACCCUAAUACUAAAAGUAAUGUGUGGUGAGUUAUUCGUGAUUGUCCUUCUACAAAAUUUUGGAAGGAUCACUAGAUACUAGGUUGUGGAAAGCUUGCUAACUCAAUACCUCAAGACAUUCCACUUAUAAAAACUAACUUUUAUGUAUUGAGCUACACUAAUUAUACAAAUUAGAAUUGAAGUAAACUGCAAAAAAUUAUCCCUAAGUCAAUAUGUGAGAAAAUUAUAUCCUUGAAACCUCUAACUGAUGCUUCUCCAGAUUUCCCCACAUGGCUACCAGCCACUGACGAUCAACUUACUAUUAUGUUAGCCUAUAAUAACCUCGCAAACCAUGAGACCAAUGUUGACUCCAUAAUAUUGUUCAAGGAGGUUUGGAAUUGACAGAGCCCACCAAUUGUUAGGACGACGCUUUGGAAGAUGGCACAUGGGAAACUCCUAACAAAUGUUGAGAGUUGUCAUAGAGGCAUGGCCUAAUACGACCCCUAUCAAUGUUGUCUCUCUACGCCUGAGACCCUUAUGCACGUUGUGAGAUAUUGUGAGGAUGUCCAACUACUUUGGAAUAGAGUUAUUAAGCCUGAAUUUUGGAGUAAAUUCGUUAGCAUGUGUACUUAUGUUUGGCUUGAAUGAAAUCUUACUCACAAUGACAUUCGAAGCAUCCCUUGGACAUGGAAAAUUUUCUUUGAUGUAGCGGUUAAUGAACUCUAGAAAGAUCGAAAAUCUUUGGUUUUCUCCCAAAAUACAAAAACAAUGAGGGAUUUGUCGCAUUGCAUUUAUAACCAAGUUGACUUUUUUCAUUACUCUUUGAUCAAGAGUAAGGUUCUAAAGUAUAACUUGAAUAACUCUAAUAAAAAAACACGAACUUAACCCCCUGUGGGGGUUAUAAAGAUGAACGUUGAUGAUACUUACACCCAUAUUGAUGGCUCAUUGGCUUGUGUGGGAAUCCUUGGCGAGCAAAAUGGUAAGUUCAUAUGUGGUUUCUACUGCAAAGUUACAUCCAAUAGCUCCUUAUUUUCUGUAGAUUUUUUGCAGUGGUGUUUUAUUGGCUCGUGAUAAAGGUAUUCGUAAUGUUAUUUCUGAAACUAACUCAAUGGCCAUCCUCUCCAUGAUCAAAAAAGACUAUACUCAGUUUACUUCCUUGUUAAUCACCCUCAAAGAGAUUAUCUCUAUAUUGCAUUAGAUGCACUUGACCUACUCCUUUAGUUAAUCGCUAAGAGAAGUAAAUAGAUGUGCUCAUUUCUUAGUUCAACUUAGUCACAAUGCUCCUUUUUUUUUAGACUAUUUACCUACCUUUUUCUUUAUUAGAUUCAUUUAUGAUGUAUGGUGCUGAAAGUUUUCAUUAUCAAUUUUGAUUUUAGUUAAUAUAAUUCCUUUCUGAAUGUCUUGACACUAAUAUUGAUGCCCAAAAAGUAUUGACCUUAUAGAAAACGUAAAUAUUUUUCUCUCUUUUAUUACUGUAAUAAAUUUGUAACAAUAACAUAUAUUCUAGAUAAACAUAUUACUUUAACAAUUUUUAUAAAAUAUGUGAUUUUUGUUAAACAUUCAUGUAAUAAGGGACAUGGGGAAUAAUAAGAAGAUAGCAUUUCUAAUUACUUUUUUCUUGCCAUAAAUAUUUAUGACAAAAUAAAUAAAGUGUGUAAUGGACGGAGUUUAUUCGAUUUUUAACAAAAAAUAAUUCGAACUAAUGAAAUGCACACAGGUUGGUUUGAUUCAGUUUUGUUUGUUUUUAUAAUUGAAUUCGAACACAACUAAAUCGAUGAUAUACGGAUUGGUUAAGUUUGGGUGAUUGGAUUUGCAUAAAAAAAAAACUAUAAAAUUCUAAUUUAUUGAUAAUCAGAAAUAUAAUUUGAAAUACCCAAUUAGAAAAUAAAAUAUGCAGUUGCCACUUUGCAUUUAGGGAUGGGAAUAGGCUAGGCCGUCCGACAGGGGCCUAUGGCCUGGCCUACUUAUGGCCUGGCCUGGCCUGGCCUAUUUAAUAAAAAGACCAGGCUCAGGCUAUUUUUAAAGCCUAUUUAUUUAAAUAGGUCAGGCUCAGGCUUAUAAAGAAGCCUAUUAGGCCUGACAGGCCGGCCUAUAUAUACUUAAUUAUUUAUUAAUGUUAUUUUUUAUUAUUAUAUUAAUAAUAUUAUUUCCUAUUUUAAAUUUUAUCAAUUAGACAAUCACUCAGUAGUCAUUCCAUAUUCGAUAGCUAUUCCAUAUUUGGUAGUCGUUCCAUAUUCGGUAGCCAUUCAAUUAGUCAAUAACUCAGUAGUCCUUCCAUAUUUGUUUGAGAGGUAAUAAUUGAUACAUUUGUUUCAAAAAAAAAAUCUAUUCUUUGAAACCAAGAAUUAUGUUUUAGGGUUUAAAGGAUGUUUGUUUCAGAUUUUUUAAAAAUUAUUUUGUUAGAAAAAUUAUUUUUUGUUUAAUAUAUAUAGAUAUGUACAUUGAUAUUGGUAUGUGGAGAGCAUUUAAAUAUUUUAAUAUGAAUAAGGCUUUUAAAUAGACUUCCAGGCUAGGCCAGGCUUUUAAAAAGGCCAGGCCAGGCCGAAAAAAAAGCCUAUGAUAGGCCGUAGGCCAGGCUUAUGCCUAAAAAAUUAAUCGUAGGCCAGGCUCAGGCCUUGCAAAGCCUGGCCUGGCCUGGCCUAUUCCCACCCCUAUUUGCAUUGUUCCUCGAACACGAAUAUCAUGCGUAACUACCCACGAAAAUGUUAUGAGCAACAUUAUCUACGGAAAUAUCAUAGACAAACGUUAUUCACAGCAUUUAUGUCGAUAAUAUUUUGCCUACGAGUCAAUUAUAUGGACCCGUGUCCGUGAGUAGUCCACAGGUUAUUUUUUAUUACCAAUGAAAUUUUUGUGGGUAAAGUCUACUCACAUGUUAUUUUUUAUUACCAAAGAAAUUUUUGUAGGUAAAGUCAAAAUUUACCGUAAGUAAUGACAUAUUUUUUGUAGUGUUGGAAUAAGUUAUAUCUACAAACCCAUAAUUUUUUUCUUAAAAAUAAAUAUACAGUACUAACAUAAUUUGGUUCUCAAAAAUAGAAUUUUGGAGUAACAUAAUGCAUAACAACCCCAAAUUAAACUAAAAAAUAGACAGUAAUAAUAUCAAAUUAAAACAAAAUUUAGAUAAUGAAAAUCUAAAUGAGAAUUUUAAAUACAAUGCAAAAUAAGAUCCGAUCCACAUACCCCUUAGAAAUAAAUGUAUAAAUUAUAUAUUAGAAAAAUCAAAAACGAAAAAGAAUUAUAUAGAGUGCAUAUUUUGUUUACUGGUUUUGUGUUUGAGCAAUAAGAAAGAACAAAAAUAAGAAUACAAAUAAAGUAAAUAAAUAUAUAAAGUGUAAAUAAAAUACUUAUGGACUUCUAUGUGAAAUAGCUAGCAAUUGACAAUACGCAUUGUCAAACGUACCAAAAUAAAGAGUAACAACAUCAUUUAAAAAUAUAAAUAUAGUUUUUUAUAACUAAAAUAUAUAUUAACAAUCCUUCAUUAGCAUAAAAGUGCUAUAGAAGGAGCAAGCAUUAACAAUAUACAACAUUCUCUCUAACAAUAAAUAGAACUAUCAAAUUAAAUAAUUGAAUGGUUAUAAACACCAUUGGUUAAAGUCAUAGCUAAAGCAUUUCAAAUUAUACUUAAACUAAAAUCAAACUAAAACUUUCUUACUUUCAACAAUUGAAAGAAUAUUUGCCUCAUAUUGAAACAUUCUAUUAUUUCUAUUUUACAAAUAGACUAAAUUACUGUUAGAUAAUAUUAUUAUAUAUUAGUAGUAAGGGUAUUUUAAACAAUUCUAUUCUUUUAUAUAUAUAUUCAUUGUAACCCUAUUAACUUUAGUUUGGUUCAUUCUAUGUUAUGAAACCUUAGAGUGAUUGUUUUUCUUCUUCCUCUUUUCAUUGUUAACAUGGUAUCAAAGAGCUUUGGUUGAUUUUGUGAUCUAUUAUAAAGAAGAGAGAGAUUAUUUUGAUAGAAAAAACAACCACCAAAAGAGAAAAGAGAAGAGUAACCAUAUUCCCGAUUUUGUUAAAUCAGACUCACAAAAACAUCGAUUGUGCAUUCGUUAACCGUUGGAUCGGGCUGAUGUUUGGACAGCAGGUUCGCAAUAUUCAGGUCUUUAUCUUCAACGGUCGAAUCGGCGAAACGACGUCUGUAGGGGGGAUAAAUAGGGCUCUCACAGCACCAGAUUAUCCAUAAUUUAUUUUGUCUCAGUGAUUGUAUUUGUCGUAUUUUCCUGUCAUUAUUUGUUAUGGCUGAUGUUAAGGAUGACUCUCUUCAAGCACAUUGUCCGAAAUUGGGGAGAACACAUAAGAAGAAUUUUAGGGGGUCAUCGUCCAAUGUUGUUGCUCUGCUCCUUCUAUCAUUGGCUCUAGUUCUGGUUCUGUAUACUCAUCUGAGAUUGCUUCCCAAAUAUUUGAUAUUGCAGAACAACUUCAAAAAAAACUUCUUGCCACUCAAUCACAUGACAUGUAUGCCACCUCUUCUAAAGGUUUGAACUCCUCUGGUAUGUCAGAUAUAUCUCCUUCCAUAUGGAUUCUUGAUUCGGGAGCAUUUCAUCAUAUGACAUACGAUGAUAAAUCUUUUGUGUCUGUGAAACUUGUCUCAUCUGUGUCGGUUAUGACUGCUGAUGGCACUCAUAUGCCACUAGCAGGCGUUGGUUCUGUCUCCACACCUAACAUGUCUCUUUCUGAUGUUUAUUAUGAUGGCACCCUCCACCAAACAUCUUGUACUGAUACUCCUCAAUAAAAUGGAGUUGCUGAAAGGAAACACCGCUAUAUUAUAGAGACUGCUCGUUCCCUUUUGUUGUCCGCUUCAGUUCCUAGUGAGUUUUGGGGAGAAGCAGUUCUUACCGAUGUUCAUGCUAUUAAUAGAAUUCCAUCCUCUACCAUAUCAGGUUUGUCUUCCUUUGAAAAAUUGUAUGCUUCCACCCUUGAUUAUCAUUCUUUGAAAGUUUUUGGUUCUACUUGUUUUGUUCUUCACCCUCAAGUAGAGCGCAGUAAGUUGUCUUCUCGUUCAGCGUUGUAUGUUUUUCUUGGUUAUGGGGAUGGUCAAAAAGGUUAUCGUUGUUAUGAUCCUCAUGUAGGAAAACUUUAUGUAUCUCGUAAUGUUGUUUUUCUUGAGCACAUCCUUUUUAUUCUUGAUCCUCUUUGGCAGCAUGCUAUGGCAAAAGAACUUUCUGCAUUGCACAAAACCAAUACUUGGGAAUCAGUACCUCUUCCUCCUGGAAAACGUGUUAUUGGGUCUCGUUGGGUAUACAAGAUCAAAACUAAGUCUGAUGGGUCAGUUGAGCGCUACAAAGCACGUCUUGUUGCUAAGGGUUUCUCUCAACAAUAUGGUAUGGAUUAUGAAGAAACUUUUGCUCCUGUAGCCAAGAUGACCACUAUUCGUACUCUUAUUGCAGUUGCAUCUAUUCGUCAAUGGCAUAUUUCCCAAAUGGAUGUCAAAAAUGCCUUUUUAAAUGGUGAGCUUCGUCUGAUGGGUCAGUUGAGCGCUACAAAGCACAUCUUGUUGCUAAGGGUUUCUCUCAACAAUAUGGUAUGGAUUAUGAAGAAACUUUUGCUCCUAUAGCCAAGAUGACUACUAUUUGUACUCUUAUUGCAGUUGCAUCUAUUCGUCAAUGACAUAUUUCUCAAAUGGAUGUCAAAAAUGCUUUUUUAAAUGGUGAGCUUCAUGAAGAAGUCUAUAUGGUCCCUCCGCAAGGAGUUUCUCAUAAUCAAGGGGAAGUAUGUAAGUUAAAGAAAGGCUCUACAUGGUCUUAAACGGGCUCAUCGAGCUUGGUUUGAGAAAUUCUCUACUUUGAUCACUUCUCUUGGUUUUCACUCUAGUGAACAUGAUUCUGCAUUGUUUAUAAGGUCCACCACUUAUGGUCGCAUUAUACUUUCUCUAUAUGUUGAUGAUAUGAUUAUUACAGGUGAUGAUGUUAGUGGAAUCAAUGAGUUGAAAUUGCAGUUAGCCAAACAGUUUGAGAUUAAGGAAUUGGGAACUCUUCGCUAUUUCUUGGAGAUUGAAGUUGCCUACUCUCCUAGAGGCUACCUUCUUUCUCAAUCCAAGUACAUCGCCAACAUUCUUGGUCAGGCUUGUCUUUCUGAUACUAGAGCAGCAGAUACUCCUCUUGAGUUAAAUGUGAAAUAUGCUCCCUCGGAUGGUGUUCCUUUACCAGAUUCCACUUUGUAUCGUACUUUGGUUGGCAGUUUAGUGUAUCUUACGAUUACCAGACCUGACAUUGCUUAUGUUGUUCAUGUUGUUAGUCAAUUUGUUGUCUCUCCCACUACAGUACAUUGGGCAGCAGGUAUUCAGAUUCAUCGUUGUCUUCAAGGAACUCAAUUUCAAAGUCUUCUCUUUCCAUCGUCAUCCUCAUUAGAGUUACGAGCUUAUUCUGAUGCUGAUUGGGCUGGUGACACCACAGAUCGUAAAUCCACCACAGGGUUCUGUAUCUUUCUUGGAGACUUUCUUAUUUCUUGGAAGAGUAAGAAACAAGACAUUGUCUCUCGCUCCUCUACAGAAGCUGAGUAUCGUGCUAUGGCAUCCACUACCGCUGAAAUAAUUUGGUUGUGUUGGCUUUUGUCUGAUAUGGGUAUCUCUCUUUCUGAGCCAACUCCGAUGCAUUGCGAUAACAAGAGUGCUAUUCAAAUUGCUCACAACUCGGUCUUUCAUGAACGCACUAAACACAUUGAGAUUGAUUGUCAUUUUACUCGUCAUCAUCUUCAGCAUGGAACUAUUACUCUACCGUUUGUUUCGUCUUCUUUACAGAUUGCUGAUUUGUUUACAAAGAUGCAUUCCAUUAAACGUUUCCGUUUUUUAGUUGACAAACUCUCGAUGCUCCAUGUUAAUGCAUCGUGAGUUUGAGGGGAGAUGUUAGAUAAUAUUAUUAUAUAUUAGUAGUAAAGGUAUUUUAGACAAUUCUAUUCUUUUAUAUAUAUACUCAUUGUAACCCUAUUAACUUCAGUUUGGUUCAUUCUAUGUUAUGAAACCCUAGAGUAGUUGUUUCUCUUCUUCCUCUUUUCAUUGUUAACAAUUGCAACUAAUCAAACACAAAAAAUCAUCUUUCUUUUAAUCCUACCACAACGAACCACGCUAGCAAAUUGAGUAGUAUGGUUAAGAGGCGUAUUUGGUUAGGCACUACAAAAAUCAAGCCAAUUAAUAAUUUUUUUACCACACUUGACUAAAAAUCAAUGAACAUUCAAAAAAAAUAAAUAAGUGAUUAAUAUUUUCCUCAAAGUUGCAUCCACCCAAACAUGUUAAAUCAUCAUAUGCAAUAACAUUGCUAAAAGCCAUAUUGUCUUGUGACGGGAUUCAAUUAUUGAACAACCCAAAAAACUAAGAAGAAUUUGCCUAACUUUUAUUAUGAUGUUAUUUAUAUAUUUAAAUUGAUAGACUAAAUAUUAUUAUUCAUGAUAAAAUUUAUAUCUUUGUUAAUAUUUGUGUGUGUGUAUAUAUAUAUAUAAAUAUUUUUAUAUAAUAAUAAUAAUAAUAUAAAUAAAAAUAAUAUGUAUAUUAUAGAGAUGUAGAAUGGAAUCAGUACUAAACUAUCUUUAUCUACACUCAUACCUACUUUUUUUUAAAAUAAUUAUCCGAGUUGAAACAUGUACUAAUAAUAUGGGUCAAAUUUCUAUCCCUAACUCUUAUGUAAUGGUACAAAAUAUAUUACGAAUAGAAUAUAGCUACAUCCUUAAUGAUAAGGUCAAAUAAAAUAAGCUCUUGAAGUCAAAAAUAAUGGACUUAACUACAAUAAGCGCAUGAGAAUUUAAACGUGGAUGCUGAACGGUGUGCUAUAAAAAAAAAAAAUAUUUUGGGUUGGGUUUGGGGCAGCGCAAAUAUAACCUCAAUAUUUUUUUAUUAUAUCUUAUUAAUCACAUAGAAUAAUAAUAUUAGUCUUAUAUAAAUUAACCUGUCUUCAAACAGCAUAUCAUCAUUCGAAGCUUUUGCAUAGAAUUAGAAACCUUCAUCUAAACAUUCUUCUUUUGUUCCUCCUAAAUCAUCAUGGAGUUUCACAACCCUUUCACUAAUAUUACCUUUAUUGCUUCUUUUGUCUUCCUUUUGAUGAUAUUCAAAAUAUUUAAAAGAUGGAGUUCUAAAAAUUCCACUACCAAUUUACCACCAGGACCAUGGACCCUACCCCUUAUAGGAAACAUACAUCAAAUUAUCAGCAACUCACUUCCCCAUCAUUGCUUCAAAAAUUUGGCAGAGAAAUAUGGUCCUUUAAUGCACCUUAAACUAGGAGAGAUAUCACAUGUAAUAGUUAGUUCACCUGAAAUGGCCAAAGAGGUUAUGAAAACACAUGACUUCACCUUUUGUGAUAGACCAUCAUUGCUUUUGCUUUCGAUACUUACUUACAAUGGUUCAGACAUUGCCUUCUCUAAAUAUGGAGAAAAGUGGAGGCAACUUCGAAAGAUGAUUGUUGUUGAGCUAUUAAAUGCAAAGCGUGUUCAAUCAUUUAGGCCCAUAAGAGAAGAAGAGGUGUCAGAUCUUGUUAAAUCAAUAUAUGAAUCUGAAGGCUCAGUUGUUAAUCUCACUAAAAUGAUUUACUCAAUGACAUAUGGAAUAACAGGGCGAGCAGCUUUUGGAAAAAAGAACCAACAACAACAAGUUUUCAUAUCAGCUUUUGAGAAAAUAUUGAUCAUAUUGGGAGGAUUUUGUAUUGCUGAUCUUUUUCCUUCUAUAAAAAUAUUGCUUGAAAGGGUGAGUAGUACAAAGACUAAAUUUGAAAAACUUUGUAGAGAGACUGAUGGAAUAUUGCAAGACAUCAUCAAUGAUCACAAAAACAGUGACAAAGAAGCAAGGGAUGAAGAUCUAGUAGAUGUUCUUCUCAAGCUUCAACAAGAAAAUAAACACUCGGAAAAUCCAUUGACUGAUGACAAUAUUAAAUCAGUCAUUCAGGUUAGUAUACAAUUAAACACAUUUAUUUUCAUAACUUAAAGAUUAAAGGCUUAAUUGCAGUUUUAGUCCUCUUAGUUUUACUGAUUCACAAAAUUGGUCUUCUAAUUUUAAAAGUUGACAUUUUUGGUUGCUCACUCAUAUUUUUGAACUAAAAAAUGACAAAUUGACAUAUUUUUAGACGUGACAUACAAUUAUAUGAUAUAGAAUCAUCUAUAUGAAUUAAUUAUUCAUUUGUUAUUAAUUAAGUUAAAAAUAUGAAGAAAAAAAUUCAAAGUUAAAAUCAAAGUUUUUACGACAUUUUAUUUCAAUUUCAUCGGUGUUAAUCAUUCUACAUUGUCGUAUCAUAUGUCACAUUAUUUAAACCAUAUCACGUUAUUAUUUUUUAGUAAAAAAACUAGAGGGAGGGACCAAAAUUGUCACUUUUAAAAUAGGAGGACCAAUUUCGUGAAUUAGUAAAAAUAGAAGGAUUAAAACUGCAAUGUAUCGAAGAAAAUGAUUGUUGGUCUAGAUAAUAAAUAGUGUCACUAUUAAUCCAUUUCAGGAUUUGUUCGCUGCUGGUAGCGAAACAUCAUCAAGUACUGUGUUAUGGGGGAUGUCUGAGAUGGUAAAGAAUCCAAAGGUGAUGGAAGAAGCACAAGCUGAGGUAAGAAGAGUGUAUGGUAGCAAGGGGUAUGUGGAUGAGACAGAGUUGAACCAAUUGAUAUACUUAAAGUCAGUCAUCAAAGAAACGUUGAGGUUGCAUCCACCUAUACCAUUGUUAGUUCCAAGAGAAAGUAGAGAGAAAUGUCAAAUAAAUGGAUAUGAUAUCCCAGCCAAAACAAUAGUUGCUGUUAAUGUUUGGGCAAUUGGAAGAGAUCCAAGGUAUUGGGUUGAAGCUGAGAGUUUUAAACCUGAAAGGUUUGAGAAUAGUCUAGUAGAUUUUAGAGGCACAGAUUUUGAAUUGUUACCAUUUGGUGCUGGAAGGAGGGUGUGUCCAGGCAUUAUCUUUGCCAUACCUAACAUUGAGUUACCUCUUGCUCAGUUACUUUACCAUUUUGAUUGGAAGCU
rnacentral:lncRNA from 1 species